UACAGAGGGUGCGAGCGUUGUCCGGAAUCACUGGGCGUAAAGGGCGCGUAGGUGCGCGACAAGUCAGUGGUGAAAGUUCGACGCUCAACGUCGAAUCGGCCACUGAUACUGUUGGGCUUGAGCACUGUAGAGGCUAAUGGAAUUCCGGGUGUAGCGGUGGAAUGCGUAGAGAUCCGGAAGAACACCGGUGGCGAAGGCGGCUCUCUGGGACGGUACUGACGCUGAGACGCGAAAGCGUGGGGAGCAACAGGG
rnacentral:rRNA from 1 species